UCAUCGAAAGGACGUGACCGCCAAUUGACCCCUACGCUGGAUCCGGGCAAUUGGAGGCUCCUUGCCCCCUCCCCUGGCCUUGGAUUGUUUGUUCCACCCACCAUCCCUUCGGAGGAGCCAUUUUCAAGGACGCAGCUUUGAGAGUAAGGAGUUGCUUAGGACAUGGGGACCAUAUAGAUGACUGAACCCAGGGCUUUUCCUCCCAAGACGCCUGGACAACCUACUACUGAAUUUCUCAUAUAAUGUGACAAUUCAUAUAUUCAAUAAAUUUUGGAAAGUUCAGCUCUGCAACAAGACCCAGAGGGAAGAAAAUGAUGUGAUCCCUUAUUACAGAAGAAGAAAUGGAAAAGGCACAGAGAAGGCCUUCUCUGAGAUCAAUGAGAAGUCCAUGGCUGAACCAGAAUGAACACACACAGGUACACAGUUUUCAAGCUCUGUUGGUCCUUUGACUUUAUGUAUAAUCCCUAUUCUCUUCAGAAAUCUAUGUACAUUUUGUGGAUUUAAAUGGCUGCAUUUCCAAGUAUGACACUUGCAUUACAAUACCAUGAAAUGGACUCAGGACUAUAAAAUACUAAACAGGAAAAAGGAGAAGGAGAAAAAGAGAAGAAGGAGAGGAAGAAGAAAACAACUGGUUUUAGAGAGAGCUGAUAACCCAUUGGUAUCAAAUAAUGUGUUAGUGUCAGUGAAUAAUAUACCAAGCGUAUUACUAGUAGAAAUUGAGUAAAUUUAUGCAUAAUAUGCAGGGAAGAUUCUAUUCAAAAUAAUAAAAGGCUUCAAUUCAAUUCAAUUCAGUUUAAUCAACUGACCUGACUGAGAUUUGAAGCAGACUUAGAAACCAUCUGUUGGGAAUAUAGUGGUCAUUAUGGUUUGGGAAUACAUUUUGUAAAAAAAACUAAAACACUUCCUCAAGUAAUUUCAGUGAAAUCAGGAAAAUAAUUUUAAAAUGGAGGGUUCAUAUGAUUAGUAUACAAAUACAUAAAAUAAAUUUAAAAAGCACAUGAACUAUAUAGUUUAUAGAAAAAACAAAAGUGGUCAAAAAGUUUGAGAAGAUGGGAAAAAAAGGAACUCCAAAUUACAAUGAGAAGUCACAUUUUUGUAUUAUGUUAGUAAAGAUUAGAAAUCACAUGACUUAUUUAUCCAAAGAUACAAAAAUGCUGUUUCAAAGAGGCACAUGUACCCCAAUGGUUAUAGCAGCACUAUCAACAAUAGCAAAGUUAUGGAAAGAGCCCAAAUGUCCAUCGACUGAUGAAUGGAUAAAGAAAAUGUGGUAUGUAUGUGUGGAAUGGAAUGGAAUGGAAUGGAAUAUUUUUUGGUGAUCAAAAAGAAUGAAAUCUUGCCAUUUGUAACAACGUUGGUGGAACGAGAGUGUAUUAUAUACUAAGUGAAAUAAGUCAGUCAGAGAAAUACAAAUAUAAUAGGAUUUCACUCAUAUGUGGAAUUUAGGAAACACAACAGAUGAAAAUAGGGGAAGGGAAGGAAAAAUAAUUCACAAACAGAGAGGGAGGCAAACCAUAAGAGACUCUUAAAUAUAGAGAACAAACUGAGGGUUGCUGGAGGGUGUUCGAUGGGGGAUGGGCUAAAUGGGUGAUGAGCAUUAAGGAGGGCACUUGUUGGGAUGAGCACCUGGUGUUAUAUGUAAGUGAUGAAUCACUAAAUUCUACCUGUGAAAGCAAUACUACACUGUAUGUUAACUAACUUAAAUUUAAAAAAAUCACAUGAUUUACUAAUACCACAAUGAGUAAACAAACCUAUCAGAAUGGCUAAAAUAAAAAGUACUUAGUUUAAGAAAUGCUGGUGAGGAUGAGGAGAAACUGGAUGACUCAUACAUUGUCGAUAAGCAUGUAAAGUGGUACAGCCACUCUGGAAAACUGGCAGUUUCUUAUAAAAAUACAUGUAUAACUACUGUAUGACCCAAUAGUUGC